GAGGUUGUGGCUCGGUGGUAGAGUGCUUGCCUCACACAUAGGAGGCCCUGGGUUCGAUCCUCAGCACCACA
rnacentral:tRNA from 1 species